rnacentral:rRNA from 1 species
AGAGUUUGAUCCUGGCUCAGGACGAACGCUGGCGGCGUGCUUAACACAUGCAAGUCGAACGGAAAGGCCCAGCAUCUUUGGUGGUGGGUACUCGAGUGGCGAACGGGUGAGUAACACGUGGGUGAUCUGCCCCGCACUGUGGGAUAAGCCUGGGAAACUGGGUCUAAUACCACAUACGACCACACUGUAGACAGUGUGGUGGAAAGCUUUUGCGGUGUGGGAUGAGCCCGCGGCCUAUCAGCUUGUUGGUGGGGUAAUGGCCUACCAAGGCGGCGACGGGUAGCCGGCCUGAGAGGGUGGACGGCCACAUUGGGACUGAGACACGGCCCAGACUCCUACGGGAGGCAGCAGUGGGGAAUAUUGCACAAUGGGCGCAAGCCUGAUGCAGCGACGCCGCGUGGGGGAUGACGGCCUUCGGGUUGUAAACUCCUUUCGCCCGGGACGAAGCCCACCUGGUGGGUGACGGUACCGUGGAGAAGAAGCACCGGCUAACUACGUGCCAGCAGCCGCGGUAAUACGUAGGGUGCAAGCGUUGUCCGGAUUUACUGGGCGUAAAGAGCUCGUAGGUGGUGUGUCGCGUCGUCUGUGAAAUUCCGGGGCUUAACUCCGGGCGUGCAGGCGAUACGGGCACGACUAGAGUGCUGUAGGGGUAACUGGAAUUCCUGGUGUAGCGGUGAAAUGCGCAGAUAUCAGGAGGAACACCGAUGGCGAAGGCAGGUUACUGGGCAGUUACUGACGCUGAGGAGCGAAAGCAUGGGGAGCGAACAGGAUUAGAUACCCUGGUAGUCCAUGCCGUAAACGUUGGGCACUAGGUGUGGGGGACAUUCCACGUUUUCCGCGCCGUAGCUAACGCAUUAAGUGCCCCGCCUGGGGAGUACGGCCGCAAGGCUAAAACUCAAAGGAAUUGACGGGGGCCC